rnacentral:lncRNA from 1 species
GGCCUUUAAACUGUUGUAAAUCAGCAGUAGCCUCAGGGGUAUUAAAGGAUGUUACACCAGUAAGUUGCCCGAAUAACAGCACAGUCACUUAAAGGGUUCAGUGCAAAAUUUAGGUUUGAACUCAUAGUUCUGGAAGAACUCUAUCUAAACUCUCUGAUGCGGUCCUGUCCUUUGUCCCUAAGCAUUUUGUUAUGUUUUGUUUAGGAAAUAAUUUCUGACAGAAUAGAAACACCAAUAAAGAUCAGAUUCACUAAAGAAGAAAGGUAAUUGAUUCUGAUACAGCAACAUCACUGUGUGGGUGGAAGAAGAGCGCCGGAAGAACUGAUCAUCUCACAAAAGGAAAAAGAACAUUGUUUUUACCACCAGAAAUGAUAUUUAAUUUUGUCUGGGCUUUUAGAGCUUAUUUAUUUGACACUAUUUC